rnacentral:rRNA from 1 species
CCUACGGGAGGCAGCAGUGAGGAAUAUUGGUCAAUGGACGAGAGUCUGAACCAGCCAAGUCGCGUGAAGGAUGACUGCCCUAUGGGUUGUAAACUUCUUUUAUAUGGGAAUAAAAUGUUCCACGUUUGGGAUUUUGUAUGUACCAUAUGAAUAAGGAUCGGCUAACUCCGUGCCAGCAGCCGCGGUAAUACGGAGGAUCCGACCGUUAUCCGGUUUUAUUGGGUUUAAAGGGAGCGUAGGUGGAUUGUUAAGUCAGUGGUGAAAGUUUGCGGCUCAAGGGUAAAAUUGCAGUUGAUACUGGCAGUCUGGAGUACAGUAGAGGUGGGCGGAAUUUGUGGUGUAGCGGUGAAAUGCUUAGAUAUCACGAAGAACUCCGAUUGCGAAGGCAGCUCACUGGACUGCAACUGACACUGAGGCUCGAAAGUGUGGGUAUCAAACAGGAUUAGAUACCCGAGUAGUC